rnacentral:tRNA from 1 species
GGUCCCGUCGUCUAUUGGCCGAGGACACCACCCUUUCACGGUGGAGAAGAGGGUUCGAUUCCCUCCGGGACUGCCC